CCAUUACUUUGCACUAGAUAAGGGUGAAUUGGCACUAGCUGAAGUGGCAAAGAAAAAAGCUAACAACAUUGACACAGAAUCAAUAACUGCAGGAGUUGAGAUUCCAAGACAUAAAGACAAAGAAGAUAAUUUAAGAGAACCUGUCAUGGACCUGCUUAUGGCACCACAAGAGCAGAAAUUUCAAGGCAGUCUCCCGCCAUGCAGUACAAAUGAUGAAUUCUUCAAGAAUAUGACAUGCAACAGCUCUGCAAGUGAAGUAGACAAAAGGGAAUGUGAGUUUUUAACAGACUUUUGUACUAAGCAGGAGAUGGACAAACCUGCAUCUUCAUGUCAAACAG